rnacentral:rRNA from 1 species
GAUGAACGCUGGCGGCGUGCCUAAUACAUGCAAGUCGAGCGAACGGACGAGAAGCUUGCUUCUCUGAUGUUAGCGGCGGACGGGUGAGUAACACGUGGAUAACCUACCCAUAAGACUGGGAUAACUUCGGGAAACCGGAGCUAAUACCGGAUAAUAUUUUGAACCGCAUGGUUCAAAAGUAAAAGACGGUCUUGCUGUCACUUAUAGAUGGAUCCGCGCUGCAUUAGCUAGUUGGUAAGGUAACGGCUUACCAAGGCAACGAUGCAUAGCCGACCUGAGAGGGUGAUCGGCCACACUGGAACUGAGACACGGUCCAGACUCCUACGGGAGGCAGCAGUAGGGAAUCUUCCGCAAUGGGCGAAAGCCUGACGGAGCAACGCCGCGUGAGUGAUGAAGGUCUUCGGAUCGUAAAACUCUGUUAUUAGGGAAGAACAUAUGUGUAAGUAACUGUGCACAUCUUGACGGUACCUAAUCAGAAAGCCACGGCUAACUACGUG